UACGGGGGGGGCAAGCGUUGUUCGGAAUUACUGGGCGUAAAGGGCUCGUAGGCGGCCAACUAAGUCAGACGUGAAAUCCCUCGGCUUAACCGGGGAACUGCGUCUGAUACUGGAUGGCUAGAGGUUGGGAGAGGGAUGCGGAAUUCCAGGUGUAGCGGUGAAAUGCGUAGAUAUCUGGAGGAACACCGGUGGCGAAGGCGGCAUCCUGGAUCAAUUCUGACGCUGAGGAGCGAAAGCCAGGGGAGCAAACGGG
rnacentral:rRNA from 1 species